UAGUCGGAAACGCUUAGUUCUGCCUGUUACAUACUUUUCAAUGAAUCUAGUAAACUCUUUUACACUACGAGUAAGGUGGAUUAAAAACCUGUUAUAUAGAUCACGUAGGAACGAUAGAGAUCACAACUAAAUCAAUUUCCAACACUAAACAGAUGGCAAUAUAAUAAUAUUAAUAGAUGACGUAAAUUCCAAUACAGGCAACGAGAUGCAGCGUCUGCAAGACAGCUUCGAAAUUUCCUGGAGACGCACCGAAGGAUGGCGGUCGCCAGUAGCAGUGCCAGUCUAGUGGAGGCAACAACGAUGCCAGGCGCGGCGAGAAAACGGACGGCGCCAGCAAAAAUGGGCGACCAGUGCCAGAAGGGGGCAUGCUGAAACCUCCAGCAAAGAGGGCCACGGCGAAGAAGGCAAAAAAAGAAUUGCGCAGAACGCCCAGGAGAGAGCAAGCAGUGAAACGAGCACAACAAUGCCGCAGCCCAAAAACAUCCGAGUGGCGACAUUGCAGCCAUCACAGUCACCAAACCAACAGGCGCCAGCGCGACCAUUUUCAACUCCGACGUCAAUAUUAAAAAUAUUGAAGACACCCGUUCACAGACAUUGGGAAGCCCCCACCGACCGUGUCGGAUUUUCUUAUAACCCCACCUGAACCAAAUAUUAGUUCCUGAGACGAAUCCUGGCCAUCCCAUAUCUAUCCAAACACUUACAGAUCGACACAGUGGCGUCCGAGCAGGUUUAGGGGUUGCAAGGGAGCCGACACCGAGAGAGAAAUGUCGAGCUGUGUUAACCUGGCAACGAAGGAAACACGGGAUACGCAGCCGUGUUCGGAUUGGACACGUUAGGGAGAAACGAGGAAUUAAGGAGCGGAGAGGCGAAACGGGAAUCGUAGACCGGGUACGAAACUGGGGUAUCCGCUUUAAAGGCUCGAGCAACCCGUUAGAAUUCCUGAGCAAGAUGGAGCAAUGUGCCACCGGUUGCGGUAUCCAGAAAGACCAGCUCGACUAGACAAUGACGUUUAUCUUGGAAAGAGCUGUGAGAGAUUGGUGGAAUACAUUUUGCCACCGAGAUAUUUGAACAUUUAGGAAUGCAAAUCACUCAACUACGACAACGGGAAACGGAACCGGUACUGAUUCCGUUUACAAGGCCAUCAGAGGAUGAAAAACUCGACCGAAUCUAACGGAACUGCAGAAGCAAGAUAAAUCUAUACACGCGCAGUACAGGAUUCGAGACGCUAACACAGUUUCUCACGCUAGCAGAAGAAGUAGAGGAGAUAGAGGCCUCCGAGAGCCAAACAAGAGUCGAGCAACCACGUCAACAGCAGCUCCGACCAGACGUAUGCAUGCGGUGCGGCGGAACAGGUCACGCGGCACGAACCUGUGGCAACCUGGAUCUGCGGAAGGAACGGCAUGAGAACAACAGAAUUCUGCAGACCGGGAUCGGGAAACGCAGCAGGCCUGAGCAGUUAAAGCUCAGUUUAAAGGCUCAGGCGGCUACAUAAGAGCCAGCAGCAGAAUAGUUGAGUUGCGAUGGAUUCCACAUAAUAGCCAUGAUAAGAGUAUGAAGGAAAAUGGCGAAGGGAGUAGUGGAUACAACACGGAACAGGGCAAAUGGAGCGGUGCCCGAUCCGAGAUAACGCUGGCCAAUGGUUCAUAGCAAAACACCGUAAGAAAGUUUACAGAGGAAACCCGUUUAGGAAGAGUUCUUUGCACUAUGCAGCCACUUUUUUAAUGAAGGCCAAAAUUUCACUCUCUCCGCUCGCGAAAAAGUGAGAUCGUAGGAAAUCUAUAAAUAGAAAUUGCUUGCUUGCUACAAGAUGAUUUUUGAGGCGAAAUAAUUUUUAAUCCAUAUAACUAUUUUACAAGUUCGGAGUUCCCGCCAUUAAAGUUGCUAUCUGGAAUUGUUAUUACUUUUAUAUAUUUAUUAAGUGUAGAAUCCGUACAUCUUAUAAUUGUAUCUUAACAUCAUAGGGUGGAGAAAUAUUCUUCAGAAUUGCCAAACACUAUAUCAAAUUAAGCGAAGAAACUUUUUUUGAUAAUUAAAACCAUAAUGUAGGGCUACUAUAAGCCCUCUUAUUUAAAUAAAACACGAACGCAGGAGUUAGCCUCUUCGGUUUAUUCGGUACUUCGCAUUUCCAGCUUUGGCAUUCGACUGACUCCCUCUCCGUUAGCGAUCUGCCUCUAUGCUUGUUGCUACAGAGCCGAUGUUGCGAAACAGAGAGAAUGCCACCCGAAAGCGAACAAUGUCUUCAUGUUUAUAUACUUAAUGUUUAUAUACUAUGUUGCUAUACUGAACUUAUGUAUGCGUACCUCUAGCCUACUACAAUAAAAUUUCCAAAAAAUAAA